UUACAGGCCAGAAUGAGAAGCCACCAUUACAUACUAGUGCACUUUGAAAGCAAACAAUAGUACUUGCUGAUCUCUAGUUAGAAAAAGAACCCAUUUCUUUCUUUCUUCUUUCACUGUCUUGAUCUGCAGAGUAAUGGAUGACUUUAAGAGGAGGAGGAGGAAUCAAAUACCAUCAUUUGGGAACUGAAAUUUCUCAGACGUUACUGGGAUACCAAUUACACAGUAUUUUGAAUCAGCAGCUGGAUUAGUGAGUAGAUACAGCAGUUGUUCUGGUGAUGAUAGAGAUUUGUAUUGUGCUGUUGCUGAUUAUGAUUUUAUUUACUCGGAUCCUCCUCCUCAUACUUAUAACCAUCAUCUUAUCAAACCACCACCAUCUUCAGUACCACCACCAUCUUCCGUUACUGUUGUUUCUCGCACAAAGGGAGGAGGAGUACCACCAAGUGAGAAACGUUUCAACAACAACAAUAAUAGGAGUAUAAAGGAACAAAAAAAGCAUGGCAGGGGAUAUGAUGUGACUGAACCACCGGAAAAACAUCAUCGGCAUCAUCACUCAUCGAGGAAUCGACAUGAAGGUGAAGUUCAUCACUAUCACGAACAUUACAUCGCUCCUCAUCCAAAACGAAUUCCUCCAAAAGCUGUUGAUGAAGAUCUUUACAAAAUCCCUCCUGAACUUCUUCUCUACAAGCCUAAAAGAAAAAAGAUGCUUGGAUUCUUCUCAUGCUUAGUACCCACUUGUGCUGCUCGGAAUUUGAAGAACAAAAAGAAGAAAAAAGCCUUUCCUCAUUUGGAGUGUGAAUGAAUGAGAAGAGUAAUCUUAAUCAACAUUUUUACUUGUUCUAGUCAACAGAUGUCGUAUACUUGCAUUCCCUUUAACUACUUGCAACUUAUACAACUUAUAUUCAGAAGCCGCUUCAUUGUGAAAUGGGCCUUAAAUUAUGUAGUUACUUGUUUGUUGUGCUGGACUGCUUGGAUAAUGUUUACGAGGGA